rnacentral:rRNA from 1 species
GACGAACGCUGGCGGCGUGCUUAACACAUGCAAGUCGAACGGAAAGGCCCCUUUGGGGGUACUCGAGUGGCGAACGGGUGAGUAACACGUGAGUAACCUGCCCUUGACUUCGGGAUAACUUCAGGAAACUGGGGCUAAUACCGGAUAGGAAUCCUUGCUGCAUGGUGGGGGUUGGAAAGCUUCGGCGGUUUUGGAUGGACUCGCGGCUUAUCAGCUUGUUGGUGGGGUAGUGGCUUACCAAGGCUUUGACGGGUAGCCGGCCUGAGAGGGCGACCGGCCACAUUGGGACUGAGAUACGGCCCAGACUCCUACGGGAGGCAGCAGUGGGGAAUAUUGCACAAUGGGCGGAAGCCUGAUGCAGCAACGCCGCGGGCGGGAGGACGGCCUUCGGGUUGGAAACCGCGUUCAGCAGGGGCGAAGCUUGUGGUGACGGUACCUGCAGAAGAAGCACCGGCUAACUACGUG